UGGGGAAUUUUGGACAAUGGGCGAAAGCCUGAUCCAGCAAUGCCGCGUGUGUGAAGAAGGCCUUCGGGUUGUAAAGCACUUUUGUCCGGAAAGAAAUCCUUGGCUCUAAUACAGUCGGGGGAUGACGGUACCGGAAGAAUAAGCACCGGCUAACUACGUGCCAGCAGCCGCGGUAAUACGUAGGGUGCAAGCGUUAAUCGGAAUUACUGGGCGUAAAGCGUGCGCAGGCGGUUUGCUAAGACCGAUGUGAAAUCCCCGGGCUCAACCUGGGAACUGCAUUGGUGACUGGCAGGCUAGAGUAUGGCAGGAGGGGGGUAGAAUUCCACGUGUAGCAGUGAAAUGCGUAGAGAUGUGGAGGAAUACCGAUGGCGAAGGCAGCCCCCUGGGCCAAUACUGACGCUCAUGCACGAAAGCGUGGGGAGCAAACAGGAUUAGAUACCCUGGUAGUCCACGCCCUAAACGAUGUCAACUAGUUGUGGGGAUUCAUUCCUUAGUAACGUAGCUAACGCGUGAAGUUG
rnacentral:rRNA from 1 species